AUACGGAGGACGCGAGCGUUAUCCGGAUUUAUUGGGUUUAAAGGGAGCGUAGGUGGGAUAUUAAGUCAGCUGUGAAAGUUUGGGGCUCAACCUUAAAAUUGCAGUUGAUACUGGUUUCCUUGAGUACGGUACAGGUGGGCGGAAUUCGUGGUGUAGCGGUGAAAUGCUUAGAUAUCACGAAGAACUCCGAUCGCGAAGGCAGCUCACCGGGCCGGAACUGACACUGAUGCUCGAAAGUGCGGGUAUCAAACAGGAUUAGAUACCCUGGUAGUCCGCACAGUAAACGAUGAAUACUCGCUGUUUGCGAUACACGGUAAGCGGCCAAGCGAAAGCGUUAAGUAUUCCACCUGGGGAGUACGCCGGCAACGGUGAAACUCAAAUGAAUUGACGGGG
rnacentral:rRNA from 1 species